rnacentral:rRNA from 1 species
AGACGGAGCAGGCAAGCGUUGUUCGGAAUCACUGGGCUUAAAGCGCGUGUAGGCGGCUUGGCAAGUACCUUGUGAAAGCCCCCGGCUCAACCGGGGAACUGCUGGGUAUACUGCCGAGCUUGAGGCAGGUAGGGGUGCUUGGAACUCUAGGUGGAGCGGUGAAAUGCGUAGAGAUCUAGGGGAACGCCGGUGGCGAAAGCGGAGCACUGGGCCUGUCCUGACGCUGAGACGCGAAAGCGUGGGUAGCAAACGGGAUUAGAUACCCCGGUAGUCCACGCCGUAAACGAUGCGCACUAGGUUUGUUGACUUCUGACAGCCAGCGAGCCGAAACAAAAGCGUUAAGUGCGCCGCCUGGGGAGUACGGCCGCAAGGCUAAA